rnacentral:rRNA from 1 species
UACGUAGGGAGCGAGCGUUGUCCGGAAUCAUUGGGCGUAAAGAGCGCGUAGGUGGAUCAAUUAGUCUGCUGUGAAAGUCAAAGGCUCAACCUUUGAAAGCCGGUGGAUACUGUUGAUCUAGAGUACGGAAGAGGCGAGUGGAAUUCCUGGUGUAGCGGUGGAAUGCGCAGAUAUCAGGAGGAACACCGGUGGCGAAGGCGGGUCUCUGGGCAGUAACUGACGCUGAGGAGCGAAAGCGUGGGGAGCGAACAGG